AUUAGUGGCGAACGGGUGAGUAACACGUGGGCAAUCUGCCUGCACUCUGGGACAAGCCCUGGAAACGGGGUCUAAUACCGGAUACUGAUCCUCGCAGGCAUCUGGGAGUUCGAAAGCUCCGGCGGUGCAGGAUGAGCCCGCGGCCUAUCAGCUUGUUGGGGGAGGAAAGGCUCCCCAAGGGCGACCACGGGUAGGCCGCCCUGGGAAGGCGCCGGCCACACUGGGGCCUAGAAACGGCCCAACUCCUACGGGAGGGAGCAGUGGGGAAUAUUGCCAAUGGGCGAAAGGUGAGCCGCCGCCCCCCCUGGGGAUGCGGCCUUCGGUUUGAAACCUCUUUUAGCGGGGAAGAGCGAAGUGAGGUCCCGGCGGAGGAGGCCCGGUAACUAGCGCCAGCGGCGGGGUAAUACGUAGGGCCAGUUGUCGGAAUUAUUGGGCGUAAAGAGCUCGUAGGCGGCUUGUCACGUCGGUUGUGAAAGCCCGGGGCUUAACCCCGGGUCUGCAGUCGAUACGGGCAGGCUAGAGUUCGGUAGGGGAGAUCGGAAUUCCUGGUGUAGCGGUGAAAUGCGCAGAUAUCAGGAGGAACACCGGUGGCGAAGGCGGAUCUCUGGGCCGAUACUGACGCUGAGGAGCGAAAGCGUGGGGAGCGAACAGGAUUAGAUACCCUGGUAGUCCACGCCGUAAACGGUGGGCACUAGGUGUGGGCAACAUUCCACGUUGUCCGUGCCGCAGCUAACGCAUUAAGUGCCCCGCCUGGGGAGUACGGCCGCAAGGCUAAAACUCAAAGGAAUUGACGGGGGCCCGCACAAGCGGCGGAGCAUGUGGCUUAAUUCGACGCAACGCGAAGAACCUUACCAAGGCUUGACAUACACCGGAAAACCCUGGAGACAGUCCCCCUUGUGGUCGGUGUACAGGUGGUGCAUGGCUGUCGUCAGCUCGUGUCGUGAGAUUGGGUUAAGUCCCGCAACGAGCGCAACCCUUGUCCCGUGUUGCCAGCAGGCCCUUGUGUGCUGGGGACUCACGGGAGACCGCCGGGGUCAACUCGGAGGAAGGUGGGGACGACGUCAAGUCAUCAUGCCCCUUAUGUCUUGGGCUGCACACGUGCUACAAUGGCCGGUACAAUGAGCUGCGAUACCGCGAGGUGGAGCGAAUCUCAAAAAGCCGGUCUCAGUUCGGAUUGGGGUCUGCAACUCGACCCCAUGAAGUCGGAGUCGCUAGUAAUCGCAGAUCAGCAUUGCUGCGGUGAAUACGUUCCCGGGCCUUGUACACACCGCCCGUCACGUCACGAAAGUCGGUAACACCCGAAGCCGGUGGCCCAACCCCUUGUGGGAG
rnacentral:rRNA from 1 species